AUUGAACGCUGGCGGCAGGCCUAACACAUGCAAGUCGAACGAGUGGCGGACGGGUGAGUAAUGUCUGGGAAACUACCUGAUGGAGGGGGAUAACUACUGGAAACGGUAGCUAAUACCGCAUACCAUCGGAUGUGCCCAGCUGGGAUUCGAUUGUUGGUGGGGUAACGGCUCACCAAGGCGACGCUACCUAGCUGGUCUGAGAGGAUGACCAGCCACACUGUAACUUAUAUCCGGUCCAGACUCCUACGGGAUGCAUCAGUGGGGAAUAUUGCACAAUGGGCGCAAGCCUGAUGCAGCCAUGCCGCGUGUAUGAAGAAGGCCUUCGGGUUGUAAAGUACUUUCAGCGUGGAGGCGUUACCCGCAGAAGAAGCACCGGCUAACUCCGUGCCAGCAGCCGCGGUAAUAC
rnacentral:rRNA from 1 species